rnacentral:rRNA from 1 species
GACGAACGCUGGCGGCGUGCCUAAUACAUGCAAGUAGAACGCUGAAGGCGGAGCUUGCUCUUCUGGAUGAGUUGCGAACGGGUGAGUAACGCGUAGGUAACCUGCCUGGUAGCGGGGGAUAACUAUUGGAAACGAUAGCUAAUACCGCAUAACAGUAGAUGUUGCAUGACAUUUACUUAAAAGGUGCAAUUGCAUCACUACCAGAUGGACCUGCGUUGUAUUAGCUAGUUGGUGGGGUAACGGCUCACCAAGGCGACGAUACAUAGCCGACCUGAGAGGGUGAUCGGCCGCACUGGGACGGGGACAGGGCCCAGGCUCCUACGGGAGGGAGCAGAAGGGAAGCGGCGGAAAUGGACGGAAGUCUGACCGAGCAACGCCGCGGGAGUGAAGAAGGGUGUCGGAUCGGAAAGAUCGGUUGUAAGAGAAGAACGAGUGUGAGAGUGGAAAGUUCACACUGUGACGGUAUCUGACCAGAAAGGGACGGCUAACUACGUG